ensembl:lncRNA
CUCCUGCUUCAGAGAGAAGCCAACAGAUGAUGGAGCCCAGUAUCGGAAGAGCAGUACCUGGAGGGGCAAUGCGAAAGACACCGUGGGUUGUCCAGCCACCAGCCAUUUCCAACUCACCUUCACCUGCCUCUCACUACAGAGGCGGAAAAUCCAGGCUCCUCAUCCCAGCAUCCCUUACAGCUAGGGUCUAGCCAAUGAGAUACCAAGGGAAAUCAGUUUGGCUGCUUCUGGGAAGGGUUUUUCCCAAGGUAUCAGGACAGCUGUGUGAGGAGCAUUCCUAUCGCCUAUCAGCCCAUCUUCAUCCUUCUGCCUGGAAUAUUGCUGCUGUGUGAGGACAUGUUUGGAGCUGCUGAGCCCACCCUGUGACCGGGAGAACCGCAGAGACAGUGAUCCAGGCUGCAGACGCAACCAUCAACAAUGGAGGAACCUGCGGAACCUUCUCUUUUCAGAUUGGUUAAAGGAGAUAAUUAAAACGUCUUCUUGCUUUCAGGUAUUCAGUUACUUGCACCUGCAUCACUUGGAAUGAGCUCUGACUGUGAGUAACAGAAAGCCCAACAAUAACAGUGACUUACACAAGACAGAAGCUUACUUCUCUUUCACAUAAAAGAAAUCUGAAGGUAAGCAGUCCAGAGUGACAGGGAAGCAUGUAAGUCAUUAAAGAGCCAAGCAUCUUUUCUCUUGUUCCCCCUGACAUCCUUAGCCUGUGACUACCACUCAUGUGGAUCAAAGAUAGCUGCCCAAGCUCUGGGCAUCACAUUUGCAUUCCAGCUAGCAGUAAAGUAGAGGAGAGGUGGAAGGAGGAUGCACCUAUCCUUUAAAAACACUUUCCAGAAGCUCUGCUGUUUAUAUCCCAUGGGCUGGAAUUUAGCAACAUGCUUGCAUCUGAGGUUGGGGACCAUGUUUAUUCUGCUUACUACCAGCCUAACCUAAAUGAGAGAUUCCACUGAUGAAGAAGAGGGAUAUCUGAGAACAAUAAGCAGUCCCUUCCAUCCAGCUGAUGCCAACUAAUUAAUCCAGGUGAUUGGCUGACACGGAUGAGAAGGAGCUCAGAGAUCCUUCUCUGAUGAAGAAGGAAGAGGACUUGGCCAAAGGAAGGGAGAAGAAGGCUCCAGACAGGAGCAACAGCUGGGGCAAGGGCCAAGAAGCAAGAGAAUCUUGGUACAUUUGGAGAGCUGAAAGCAAUCCCAUCACUCAGUGAUAAAAGCAAGGUGGAGAGGCAGCCAGGGACCAAGCUGCCUGGGAGUCUUUUCCUAUGUGGAGGAAGUUGGGCUUGACUCUAAGGAUGAUGGAGGCCUACUGGGAAGUAUUUGACAGGAAAGUGACAUGACCAAGAUUGCAUUUUGGAAAACUCUUUCUAGUUCCAGGGUGGAGAAUGCACUGGGUUGGAGGAGGGUAAAUCUGGAGGCAGGAGACUCACUGGGAGGCUCCUGGAGGCCAAGAAUCAGGUGAUAUUGGCUUGAAGCAGCACAGGGGCAGGUCCCAUCUCAGGCUGGGAGGCAGCUGAGGGAUGCUGUCAGGCAGUGCUACUCAGAGGGCUUGUCUGCAGCAAGAUUCCCACCUUGCACUAGAACCUAAGUCAAUGCACUGCUUCCCUCAUUGAGAAAGUCCUGCCACAAGUAUUUUAUACACGUGUGCUUUCUGUUGUGUUUGUUUGUUUACAUACUGGUGCAAGCUCCUUCCUCUGUGAACCAUCAACGCUGUGCGGAGCAGUGCGGAUCUCUGUAACCAGACCAUACUUCAAACAUCAUUGGUUUAAAGGCAAGAGGAUCCUAAAUUCCUCAUGUAAGGUUGCUCUCCUCGACCAGGGAAAAGACUGGUUUCUCUGUGUCAGACGCAAACCCUGCUAAUUCUUAAUUGCUCGGGGGUCCAAUGCCAACCCACAGCAGGUCCUUGUAGAGGUUCAUCCUCAUGUCAGCACGGACUUACCUGCAAUAUCCAGGCAACCACCGUAUAAGUCAAGGUAUCUGGGAGAGGGGCUCCGGAACCUCUAAGAGUGACUCCAAGGAGAGGUGGUGUCUGGAAACCCCACUAGGGUGUAAGGGACAGACUCUCAGAGCAGGAUCUUCCAAGACAAUCCAGCCUGACCUGCUCAGUGGGACAGAUGGCAAAUCUGACGCAAAGAGAGGCAGGUAGCACAAGGUGACAAGUAGGACCCAAGGUGACUCCAAGGAUGCCAGGGCUGAGGCCAGGUAUGGUCUGCAACGAACUGCCCGUCUUCAUGCACUGGCUCCCCCACAAUGCCCAGAGCAGUGCUAUACAGGAAGAAGCCGGAACAGUUCUGCUGAACACAUGGGGUGCAUGUCAGACCCAAAGGGGACAUCAACCCCUCACUGAGGCCUUUGGUAGCACUAACCAAGGAGGAGGGCUGGAACAUCCAUGAUCCUUACUUCUAACUCCACCCUGAGAAAUCAGGUCAGUGACUGGGCAACAAGCCAAGGGACAUCAGAGGACAGACCAGCCACCCUCCCAGCUGGCUGACUCCUCAGUCAGAGGCCAAGGUAUCAACAUAAAGCAGUGUAGCCCUUGUCCCUCCCUGAGUAUGCUUCUCUGAGGCUCACAAAGGGUGAAGAUGGAUGCUCAGAGGGAAGCAGCCCAAUCUGGAGCCCAUGGAUGAAGCACCUUGACCCCAGCAGAUUCCUGAGUGUCCAGGGUCUGACCCCGUGGUUCUCUCCACUCUCCAGCAUUCAGGGCUCCCUCACUGUGUCUGUAGAUUGUGUACACCACCCUCCUCCCACCCAGCUGGCAGCUCACAUGGUGGGGCAGGAACAAGAAAAGCUUCCUUCCUGUUCUUUCAUCUCCAAAUACAAGUUAGCAUGGGGGAUCGGGGAAUUGAAGGUGGGGGGAGGCACAAACCCCCUUCAACUUCCCAGAGGAAAAAUUUUAUAAAACUGUCAGAGAUGUAAUAGAACUGUCAGAAGCACGGGGAAAUCAGCUACACAGAUUACAAAAACAUAUGUCAGGGACCUAUUGGUUUCAUGACAGUGUGAAAAUCACAAUUUUUCUGUCAAGAUAGAAAAUAGAAACAGAGAAAAACCAAGAACACUUUAGCAUACACCAACUGACAGCAGCAAGUACGACCCAUCC